AAAAAAAAACUAUUCAGAUACAUCGCAUCUACCAGCAAAGAACGUGUGCCAGUACAGGGAAGGAAUGUACCUGUCGCACGUGAACUCUUCAGAGGCAGUGAGGACAACAAGAUCUGCAAGCAAGUGAUCCUUUUUAUACAUCGCAUCUACCAGCAAAGAAUGUGUGCCAGUAGAGGAAAGGAAUGUACCUGUCGCACGUGAACUCUUCAGAGGCAGUGAGGACAAGAUCUGCAAGCAAGUGAUCCUUUUUAUACAUCGCAUCUACCAGCAAAGAUCAAGUGCCACUACAAGAAAGGAAGGUACCUGUUUCACGUUUCCUCUUCAGAGCCAGUGAGGGCCCCAAGAUCUCAAUAAAUAAUAAUUAAAAAAAGACUCCUUUAUCAUUCCUUUAAAAAUAGUACAUAUUAUUUAUUGAAGGUAAAUGCUUAGAUGCAUUAUAUUCGAAUUUUGUCUCCAAGCUAGCAUGUAAAAAUUGGAUUGACUACAUAUUUACUGUGUAAGUUAAUGAUCUUUGUUGACACAUAAAACAAGAAUUAUACACAGCAUGUUACAGUUUGUAACAUAAUUUUCUUUCAUUAAAUUCCUAGUUUAAAUACCA